AUUGAACGCUGGCGGCAGGCCUAACACAUGCAAGUCGAACGAGUGGCGGACGGGUGAGUAAUGUCUGGGAAACUGCCGGAUGGAGGGGGAUAACUACUGGAAACGGUAGCUAAUACCGAUUACCAUCGGAUGUGCCCAGAUGGGAUUAGCUAGUAGGGGGGGUAAAGGCUCACCUAGGCGACGAUCCCUAGCUGGUCUGAGAGGAUGACCAGCCACACUGGAACUGAGACAAGGUCCAGACUCCUACGGAAGGCAGCAGUUGGGAAUAUUGCACAAUGGGCGCAAGCCUGAUGCAGCCAUGACGCGUGUAUGAAGAAGGACUUCGGGUUGUAAAGUACUUUCAGCGGGGAGGCGUUACCCGCAGAAGAAGCACCGGCUAACUCCGUGCCAGCAGCCGCGGUAAUAC
rnacentral:rRNA from 1 species